UACAGAGGGUGCAAGCGUUAUCCGGAAUUAUUGGGCGUAAAGAGCGUGUAGGCGGCUUGGUAGGUCCGCUGUGAAAACUCGAGGCUCAACCUCGAGAUGUCGGCGGAAACCACUUGGCUAGAGUCCGGAAGAGGAGAGUGGAAUUCCUGGUGUAGCGGUGAAAUGCGCAGAUAUCAGGAGGAACACCGAUGGCGAAGGCAGGUCUCUGGGCCAUUACUGACACUGAGAAGCGAAAGCAUGGGGAGCGAACAGG
rnacentral:rRNA from 1 species